UACGGGGGGGGCAAGCGUUGUUCGGAAUUACUGGGCGUAAAGGGCUCGUAGGCGGCCAACUAAGUCAGACGUGAAAUCCCUCGGCUUAACCGGGGAACUGCCUCCGAUACUGGAUGGCUUGAGUUCGGGAGAGGGAUGCGGAAUUCCAGGUGUAGCGGUGAAAUGCGUAGAUAUCUGGAGGAACACCGGUGGCGAAGGCGGCAUCCUGGACCGACACUGACGCUGAGGAGCGAAAGCCAGGGGAGCAAACGGG
rnacentral:rRNA from 1 species